CCUACGGGAGGCUGCAGUGGGGAAUAUUGGGCAAUGGGCGCAAGCCUGACCCAGCAACGCCGCGUGAAGGAAGACGGCUCUCGGGUUGUAAACUUCUUUUAUCAGGGACGAAGCAAGUGACGGUACCUGAUGAAUAAGCCACGGCUAACUACGUGCCAGCAGCCGCGGUAAUACGUAGGGGGCAAGCGUUAUCCGGAUUUACUGGGUGUAAAGGGCGUGUAGGCGGGAAAGCAAGUCAGAUGUGAAAACCAUGGGCUCAACCUGUGGCCUGCAUUUGAAACUGGUUUUCUUGAGUACUGGAGAGGCAGACGGAAUUCCUAGUGUAGCGGUGAAAUGCGUAGAUAUUAGGAGGAACACCAGUGGCGAAGGCAGUCUGCUGGACAGCAACUGACGCUGAGGCGCGAAAGCGUGGGGAGCAAACAGGAUUAGAUACCCGAGUAGUC
rnacentral:rRNA from 1 species